rnacentral:rRNA from 1 species
AUUGAACGCUGGCGGCAGGCCUAACACAUGCAAGUCGAGCGAGCGGCGGACGGGUGAGUAAUGUAUGGGGAUCUGCCCGAUAGAGGGGGAUAACUACUGGAAACGGUGGCUAAUAACGCAUACUAUCGGAUGAACCCAUAUGGGAUUCGCUAGUAGGUGGGGUAAAGGCUCACCUAGGCGACGAGCUCUAGCUGGUCUGAGAGGAUGAUUAGCCACACUGGGACGGAGACACGGCCCAGACGCCGACGGGAUGCAGCAGGGAGGAAUAUUGCACAAUGGGCGCAAGCCUGAUGCAGCCAUGACGGGUGUAUGAAGAAGGCCGUAGGGUUGUAAAGUACUUUCAGCGUGGAGGCGUUACCCGCAGAAGAAGCACCGGCUAACUCCGUGCCAGCAGCCGCGGUAAAC